AGAGUUUGAUCAUGGCUCAGGACGAACGCUGGCGGCGUGCUUAACACAUGCAAGUCGAACGAUGAAGCCUUCGGGUGGAUUAGUGGCGAACGGGUGAGUAACACGUGGGCAACCUGCCCUCCACUCUGGGAUAACUCCGGGAAACCGGGGCUAAUACUGGAUAUGACCUGGGGUCGCAUGACUCUUGGUGGAAAGUUUUUCGGUGGAGGAUGGGCCCGCGGCCUAUCAGCUUGUUGGUGGGGUGAUGGCCUACCAAGGCGGUGACGGGUAGCCGGCCUGAGAGGGCGACCGGCCACACUGGGACUGAGACACGGCCCAGACUCCUGCGGGAGGCAGCAGUGGGGAAUAUUGCACAAUGGGCGGAAGCCUGAUGCAGCGACGCCGCGUGGAGGAUGACGGCCUUCGGGUUGUAAACUCCUUUCAGCAGGGACCAAGCUUUCGGGUGAGUGUACCUGCAGAAGAAGCACCGGCUAACUACGUGCCAGCAGCCGCGGUAAUACGUAGGGUGCGAGCGUUGUCCGGAUUUAUUGGGCGUAAAGGGCUCGUAGGCGGCCUGUCGCGUCGGAAGUGAAAGCCCACUGCUUAACGGUGGGUCUGCUUCCGGUACGGGCAGGCUAGAGUAUGGCAGGGGAGACUGGAAUUCCUGGUGUAGCGGUGGAAUGCGCAGAUAUCAGGAGGAACACCGGUGGCGAAGGCGGGUCUCUGGGCCAUUACUGACGCUGAGGAGCGAAAGCGUGGGGAGCGAACAGGAUUAGAUACCCUAGUAGUCC
rnacentral:rRNA from 1 species